AUUGAACGCUGGCGGCAUGCCUAACACAUGCAAGUCGAACGAAGGCUUCGGCCUUAGUGGCGCACGGGUGCGUAACGCGUGGGAAUCUGCCCCUCGGUUCGGAAUAACAGUUAGAAAUGACUGCUAAUACCGGAUGAUGACUUCGGUCCAAAGAUUUAUCGCCGAGGGAUGAGCCCGCGUAGGAUUAGGUAGUUGGUGGGGUAAAGGCCUACCAAGCCGACGAUCCUUCGCUGGUCUGAGAGGAUGAUCAGCCACACUGGGACUGAGACACGGCCCAGACUCCUACGGGAGGCAGCAGUGGGGAAUAUUGGACAAUGGGCGAAAGCCUGAUCCAGCAAUGCCGCGUGAGUGAUGAAGGCCUUAGGGUUGUAAAGCUCUUUUACCAGGGAUGAUAAUGACGGUACCUGGAGAAUAAGCUCCGGCUAACUCCGUGCCAGCCGCCGCGGUAA
rnacentral:rRNA from 1 species